rnacentral:rRNA from 1 species
CCUACGGGGGGCAGCAGUGGGGAAUAUUGCACAAUGGGGGAAACCCUGAUGCAGCGACGCCGCGUGAGUGAAGAAGUAUUUCGGUAUGUAAAGCUCUAUUAGUCGGAACGUGACAAGAGGGUCCUUGACUAAGAAGCCCCGGCUAACUACGUGCCAGCAGACGCGGGAAUACGUAGGGGGCAAGCGUUAUCCGGAAUCACUGGGUGUAAAGGGAGCGUAGACGGCUGAGCAAGCCUGAAGUGAAAGGCGGGGGCCCAACCCCCGGACUGCUUUGGAAACUGGACGGCUGGAGUGCAGGAGAGGUAAGUGGAAUGCGUGGUGUAGCGGUGAAAUGCGGAGAUAUUAUGAAGAACACCGAUGGCGAAGGCAGCUUACUGGACUGUAACUGACGUUGAGGCUCGAAAGCGUGGGGAGCAAACAGGAUUAGAUACCCGGGUAGUC